GACGUAGGGCGCGAGCGUUGUCCGGAUUUAUUGGGCGUAAAGAGCUCGUAGGCGGCUUGUCGCGUCGUCCGUGAAAACUUGGGGCUCAACUCCAAGCUUGCGGUCGAUACGGGCAGGCUAGAGUUCGGUAGGGGAGACUGGAAUUCCUGGUGUAGCGAUGAAAUGCGCAGAUAUCAGGAGGAACACCGGUGGCGAAGGCGGGUCUCUGGGCCGAUACUGACGCUGAGGAGCGAAAGCGUGGGGAGCGAACAGG
rnacentral:rRNA from 1 species